rnacentral:rRNA from 1 species
GAUGAACGCUGGCGGCGUGCCUAAUACAUGCAAGUCGAGCGAACAGACGAGGAGCUUGCUCCUCUGACGUUAGCGGCGGACGGGUGAGUAACACGUGGAUAACCUACCUAUAAGACUGGGAUAACUUCGGGAAACCGGAGCUAAUACCGGAUAAUAUAUUGAACCGCAUGGUUCAAUAGUGAAAGACGGUUUUGCUGUCACUUAUAGAUGGAUCCGCGCCGCAUUAGCUAGUUGGUAAGGUAACGGCUUACCAAGGCAACGAUGCGUAGCCGACCUGAGAGGGGGAUCGGCCACACUGGAACUGAGACACGGUUCAGACUCCUACGGGAGGCAGAAGUAGGGAAUCUUCCGAAAUGGGCGAAAGCCUGACGGAGCAACGCCGCGUGAGUGAUGAAGGUCUUCGGAUCGUAAAACGCUGUUAUUAGGGAAGAACAAAUGUGUAAGUAACGAUGCACGUCUUGACGGUACCUAAUCAGAAAGCCACGGUUAACUACGU